GAUGAACGCUGGCGGCGUGCCUAACACAUGCAAGUCGAACGGAGUCCAGCCUUUAAGACCUUCGGGUCAAAGAGGGGAAGACUGAGCGGCGGACGGGUGAGUAACACGUGGGCAACCUGGCUCAUAGAGGGGGAUAACAGAGAGAAAUUUCUGCUAAUACCGCAUAAGCACACACUGCCGCAUGGCAGAGGGUGAAAAGAGAAUCGCUAUGAGAUGGACCCGCGUCUGAUUAGCCAGUUGGCAGGGUAAGAGCCUACCAAAGCGACGAUCAGUAGCCGAUCUGAGAGGAUGAACGGCCACAUUGGGACUGAGACACGGCCCAAACUCCUACGGGAGGCAGCAGUGGGGGAUAUUGCACAAUGGGGGGAACCCUGAUGCAGCGACGCCGCGUGAGUGAAGAAGUAUUUCGGUAUGUAAAGCUCUAUCAGCAGGGAAGAUAAUGACAGUACCUGAAUAAGAAGCCCCGGCUAACUACGUG
rnacentral:rRNA from 1 species